rnacentral:lncRNA from 1 species
AAGCCCAUGUAAAUCACCCCCAUUCACAGAGAUUAAGGAAUUUGCAUGAGAUCACACAGUAACAAACAGUGGGGUCAGGAUUUGAGGCCAGACCCUGUAUAGACCAUUAAGGAUUACCACAAUGCGCGUUUUAUAGGGUAUCAUGGAGGCCAUGCAUUGCACAGUUCCCUGUCAAAAUUUGAAGGAUUCAGCUCUACAUUUUGAAUUUUGACCGCCAGGCUUUUCCAGCUUCACAUAUCCUGUUGCACCUUCCCCCUAAAUGUGAAAGAUCAAAAGUUGUACUUACUUUCCCUGCUCCUUUAGAUCUGGUGAUUUUCUCUGCACGCACUUCUCUGUUAGUCAACCAUUCACUAAAUGCUUCCUAUUUUUCUUCCUUAGAGUUGGUCCUAGGUUCUAAUCCGAACAACUGCCGUCCCUAAUAUAGUGUGUCAGCACGUGGGCCUGGGUUCCAACCUUCGCUCUGCCACUCACUAGUAGUUUGAUAGGGAAAAAUCACUUAGCUUUUCUGGGCCUCCACUCAUUCAUUCAUUCAUUCAUUCACUCAUUUAUUCUGGGUUCCAGGAAAUCAGCAGGGAAUAAAACGGGCAAGAAUACCUACCCCCCCACCCCCGCCAAAGCUUACAUUCUAGUGAAGACAGACAAUAAACAAAAUAAUUAUAGGGUGUAUUAGGAAGUAAAGGUGCUGUGGAGGAAAACAAAGCAAAGAAGGUAAUUCAGCAGUAUGUAAAAUUAGAAAUAGUUAUACCUUCAUUACAGGACCAGGAGGAUUAGAGACACACAGAAAGUAUAGGGCACAAAAUGAGUAUUCAAAAGAUGAUGUUUUUAAAACUCACUGCCUCAUUCCUGCAGAAAACUGACUCUCUGUUGUUGGUGAUCUUGCCUUGAACCUCCUCAUCCUGGCCCUGUUGCCCAGGCUCUCAGGAAAAAAGCUCAGAAGAGUUCUAGCUAGCGUCAGGAAGGACGACAGGCCUCCUCAUUUCCGGAGGCCCCAGGUCCCUGCUGAGUGUAUCACUCAUAUCCAGAGAACUGUGUUUCCAGACUGGAGAGCCAAGCAGGUCACUGCUUACUCCUCAUUAACUACUACCAUGAUAACUCUGCCGAGAAGAUACACCAUUACCACGGCUUCGUAG